rnacentral:sRNA from 1 species
AUGGCUGUCGUCAGCUCGUGUCGUGAGAUGUUUGGUUAAGUCCAGCAACGAGCGCAACCCCUUUCCUUAGUUGCCAGCACAUUAUGGUGGGGACUCUAAGGAUACUGCCCGGGAUAACCGGGAGAAAGGUGGGGAUGAUGUCAAGUCAGUAUGUCCCUUAUGUCCAGGGCUACACACGUGUUACAAUGGCUAGUACAAAGGGUUGCCAACCCGCGAGGGGGAGCCAAUCCCAAAAAACUAGCCCCAGUUCAGAUUGGAGUCUGCAACUCGACUCCAUGAAGGAGGAAUCGCUAGUAAUCGUGGAUCAGCACGCCACGGUGAAUACGUUCCCGGGUCUUGUACACACCGCCCGUCACGCCAUGGAAGUCAGCAGUACCCAAAGCAGGUCGCCUAACCUUCGGGAGGGAGCCUUUUAAGGUAAGGCUGGUAACUGGGGCGAAGUCGUAACAAGGUAGCCGUACCGGAAGGUGCGGCUGGAUCACCUCCUUUCUAAGGAGUAAUCCUGACUAUUAAAGUCGGGAUACGGUCGAACUCAAAGUUUUGGUCACGCAUACCAUUUAUUUUUGGGCUUGUAGCUCAGGUUGGUUAGAGCGCAUCUCUGAUAAGGAUGAGGUCCGUGGUUCGAGUCCACGCAGGCCCACUUAAGAGAAGCCCCUUUUUAAAACUGGGGCUAUAGCUCAGUUGGGAGAGCGCCUGGUUUGCAACCAGGAGGUCGUCGGUUCGACCCCGGCUAGCUCCACAAAGAUUUAUUGCUUUUUGACAAUUUGGAGAUGACGUAGGUAGCCUCGUUAUACGAAGAAAGGACUUUGAUAAAGUUACUAAGGGCGUACGGGGGAUGCCUAGGUACAUGGAGACGAUGAAGGACGUGGUAAGCUGCGAUAAGCCCCGGGUAAGUGCAAACAACUUUAGAUCCGAGGAUUUCCGAAUGGGGAAACCCGG